UAGUAUAGUUAAGGAAGAGAUUAUGUUCUUUAAAUUCUUCUCUUACUGUUAAACACAAAUGCUAAGUAGUCAAGUUCUUUACCUUUUGUUUCAUUUUGCUUCACAAUAUGUACAAUUUAUUCUCAGAGUGUGUAGGAUAACUUUCUUAUAGUUAUUUCAAUUGUCGAAGAUAUACAGAAGCUCGGGUAUUCUAUAAUGCACUGUUAUAGUCACAAUGGCCGAAACCAACUCCCCAACCCCGAUAUCCCCCUCGACAAUCCUCAAAUUCUCAAUCUCUUUUCCUUAAAUGAAAUCAGAUUAAUUCCUCAAAUUUUCAAAGCUUUAGGGUGCAAUUUUGCUCGGUUUUAGGGUUUGAUUUCCCUUUGAGGGUUAUUUUUGCUCGAUUUUAGGGUUUCUUUUGUUCGAUUGUUGAAGGGGCGUUUUUCGCCGGUAAGGAAGGGAACACCGGCGAUGGGAGGAGAAAGAGGAGGGGGUCACUGGCGGUAGGAGGAGAAUGUUCGGUCAGAGGAGAGAGAAGGUGGUCACCGACGGUGGUUUUGGCAUUUGGAGUUUUGGGUUGGUGGUGGAUUGGUGGUCUGGGUGGUAUGAGCCGGUGUCUGAGUAGAGAAAAGGGCCGUAAGGGAAGAUAGAAAGGAGAAAUUUUCCAUUGAAGGGCCUUCUGGGUUUUCACUCUUCCAUUGAUAAAGCUUCUGAGGUUAACUUCUUUUUUUGAGACGCAGGUCAACUAUCAAAUUACAUAAAAUCAAUUACAGAAUACGAGUGUAAUACCUUCUGGUUACUUCUAUUUUUUGGGUUAUAUCUGCUUUAUCACCAAUUAAACAAGAAAUUCUGUUCAAAAGGGGGCUCUUUGAUGUAAUGAAAGGAUUCGUCUUUGAAUUAAGUUGAUGCAAUAUUAGACAAGGACAACUUCACUUUGGAAGAGCUAUUGGAUGAAGAAGAAAUAAUCCAAGAAUGCAAAGCUUUGAACAGCCGCUUGAUUAACUUCUUAUGGGACAGAGCUGAGGUGGAGUAGCUUUUGUGCUAUGUUGUAGAAGAACCUCCAGAGGAUGCUGACAGCAAACGCACCUUCAAGUUUAGAUUUUUUUUGGUGGGAGCUCUAUUGUUAGCGCUUAUUGAUCGUUACUCAGUGGCUCAUGCUGGCCCUUGAAAGUCGAGGUGCAUGCGGUGGGAUUAAAUCAUGGGUAAGUGUAAUUAUUUCUACGGGGCUUUCAUGUAGCAAUGGGAUGCGGCUCAGGGAUAUUGCUAUAGCUACUUCAAAAGAAUUUCAGGGCAAAAGAGGAGAUUGAGAAGAAGAAGAUGGAGCUUUGUGAGUGAGUUCAAGCUCAACUCGGUCGAGUCAAGGAGGAGACUAUAAAUCAUAAUAGAUACUGUAAGUUUAUGUGUUGAUGAGAUUGCUUUUGUUCCAUUAAUGAACAUCACUGAAGCUGGCAUCUCAAGCAUGGAGAGCUUUCAAAAUCCACAAAAUGCUGAUGAGAAUCCAGAUGGUCACAAUGGGUAUGGGUUCAUGGUCUCAGAGUUGCUUGGUAAUGAUGUCCCGAAUUACUCUUUAGUUCAGCCUGAUAUAAAUUUUAUGCACAAUGGCAUGGGCCUUAAUCAUGGCGAGGUACAAUCCUUGAUUUUUUAAAAUAUUGUUUGAUCUCAUAAUGUUAUUUUAUUCCGUAACUGUUACCUUUAUAUUUGGGGAUGUCCCUUUUAAUAUGGGUGUUGGAGACUUGAUGGUCAUUGAGGAACAAAACAAAAUAGGAGAUUUAUUGAUUGUUGGGCUUCUAAGAAAGAGCUUAUUAAAAAGAUGGAGGUUACGGAAAUGCGCAUGUUAAGGUGGAUGUGUGGAAACACUUAAAGAGAUAGAAUCAUAAAUGAGGUUAUUCCCAGGGAGACCAAAAAUGACUUGGUUGGAAGGAGUUAGGAAGGAUAUGAAGUGCAUGGAUUUACAUGAGGAUGAAGCUUUGGAUCGUAAGGGAUGGAGGAGAAAGAUCUAUGUUAAUGACUACACGGAAUAAUCAAAUUUGGUUCAUGUUAGCCGACCCCACUUUUGGGAUUAAGGCUUUGAUUGAUUGAUUGAUUGAUUGAUGACUAUAAUUUAUUUCUACUUUGUUCUUAGAUUUAAUAUUGUAUGAAGCUAUUUAGACACUUAUAUUUUAAGUUUGAUGCAGUAAGUUGGAUCUUUAUAGUGGUUUACUCUAUAACUUAUUUCCUACCAGUUACUAUACUUGUUGAAAAUAAAAUAAAUAUUAAGGAAAUAACAGACAUAUUAUGUGUAAGGGAAACCAUGUAUUUUGACAAUGGUCUAGGAAAGCAAAUGCUCUUAAAUUUGUUCUAGAUAGAAUAAUUACGUAUAAAAACAUAGAAUAUAUCAAAAAGUGAUAGGGGUAUACACAUGAAAAGUGAAUAAAGUAUAAUGUCUAGAAUUUGUCGUGUGUAAUACACUACAUUCAACAAACUUAGGUUUUUGUAUCUUUGUGGAAGCUGAAAGUGAACUAUAAACUUCAUAUGAAACUACAGUAGACAGUUGGAGGAGGAUAAAUGAUGUAGGAGAAGCUGGACAUUGUGUAUUAAAGAUGAAAAAAUUAUUUGCUUUUUCUAUUCAUCUCAUAGAUUGGAAGGUAUCCCUCCCAUCCCCCCCCCCCCCCCAAAAAAAAAUAAAAUAAAAUAAAAUUAAGAGAGAGAGAGAGAAAUGUAUUUGGUCCGUACCAAUAGAAGCAUGAUAAGAGGUGGAGCUUAGCCUCAGUACCAAUAGAAGAAUGACAUAUUUGGUUUGUUUGUUUGGUUUCUGUGAUUUUGAGUUUUCUAGAGAAUUAUUACCAGGUUUAGUCAUGUAUCUUAUUGUUUUUUUUAGAUCAUUGAGUCAUAUAGUAUCCAAAACUGUGUCCAAAAUCUUCAUUGGGUCGUCCUUAAUCGUGGCUAGAACAUGAUUUUGGUGUAUUUUAGCCAAGGAUUGGUGUGCUUCAUUGUUAUUGAUAUUGCUCUUGAAGUUCAUGAUGUUUGUAGUUAAUUGUCUAAUUCGAUGACUGCUGAUUGCUGAUUGUGAUUUUAUUUCGCGGUCGACCAGGCUCUCUUUUCCCUUUCAACGAUUACGUCAAAGUGAAGAACGCUUCGUUGUAAGGUUGAUUGUGUAAUUUUGGGGCUGAAUUUUGAGUUAUUUAUUGCUGAAUUUUUAUUUAUUGUGAUUUAAUUAACUACAAGGUUUGGUGAAGAAUUGGGAGAAUUUAGGCGACUUUGCAAAUUCUGAUUCUGAGCAAAUGGCUGGGCAGGUUUGGUUAUUUAACUGUAUACUGUUUGCUUGUUUGAUUGAAGAAGCCUAUCACCCUUUAGGCGACUCUGCAAACUAUUUGGCUAUUUGCCGAAUCAUUGGAGAAGCAGAAAGGUUCAGAAUUGAAUUAUGGUUAUGGGGUUUGUAGAUUUUGCAGGUUUUUGAUGAAUUUUGUUUAAUUGCAGAAGUGAUGAGAUUACGAGAUAAGAGCUUCAAUGACACUCAAUUCAAAUGCCCUUUUGGUGCUUCUCGAGGAGAACCAUGAGUGCUCUUUCGAUAACUCUCAGAACAAUGUCAAUUCAAACAACCUUUUCGUACUAUCAGGGCUUUCACAUAUCUUAUUUUCCGUUGGUCUAGGCUUCUAGCUGUUACCUUGUUCUUGGUGAAAUUGGCUAAGCAUCACUACAUUUCGAGAGACGGUUGCAGUCAACUGACAUUUGUAUGGAGCGGAAAAUUAUUCUAGAAGCUUCUGAUGGUCUACAAAAGGCUCAGGUACCCUCAUCUUCUCUGUUUACAAUGGCAGUGAGAGGCUAUCAACAAGUUGAUCGAAGAAGCCAUACUUGAGGCAGAGGAAAAAGGGAUCAAUGUAGUGAGCUUAGGACUUUUGAAUC